rnacentral:rRNA from 1 species
AGGGUGAAUGCUGGCGAUGUGGAUGAGUCAUGCAAGUCAAGGGGGCCCGCAAGGGCAACCGGCAGACGAGGUAGUAACGCGUAGGUAGAUCCCCCGAAGUCGGGCAUAGCCGGCCGAAAGGCCGGGUAAUUCCCGAUAGUCCCGCAAGGGUAAAGGUUUUUCGCUUCGGGAGUCGCCUGCGCAGUAUCAGCUAGUUGGUAGGGUAACGGCCUACCAAGGCUACGACGCUUAGGGGAGCUGAGAGGCUGACCCCCACCGAUGGGACUGCGACACGGCCCAUACUCCUACGGGAGGCUGCAGACGAGAAUAUUCCGCAAUGGGCGAAAGCCUGACGGAGCGACAUCGCGUGCUGGAUGAAGUGCUUAGGUACGUAAACAGCCUUUAUCGGGGACGAAGUCAUUGACGGUACCCGAUGAAUAAGGGGCUCCUAACUCUGUGCCAGCAGGAGCGGUAAUACAGAGGCCCCAAGCAUUACCCGGAAUCACUGGGCGUAAAGGGUGUCCAGGCGGCCCUAUUAGUCUCUCGUAAAAUCCGUGAGCUCAACUACGGCGCGCGAGGGAAACGGUAGGGCUCGAGGGCGCGAGAGGUACAGGGAACUCAUGGUGGAGGGGUGAAAUCCGUUGAUAUCAUGGGGAACACCAAAGGCGAAGGCACUGUACUGGCGCGUUCCUGACGCUCACACACGAAAGCCAGGGUAGCGAACGGGAUUAGAUACCCCGGUAGUCCUGGCCCUCAACGUUGUUCGCUCGUUCCGCGGAGUAUCGACCCUCUGCGGGACUAAGGUAACCCGGUAAGCGAACCGCCUGGGUAGUACGAUCGCAAGAUUAAA